rnacentral:tRNA from 1 species
UGAAAGAUAAGCUAAUAAAGCUAUUGGGCUCAUAACCCAACAAUGGACCUCCCUCUUUCAA